rnacentral:rRNA from 1 species
AACGAACGCUGGCGGCGUGCCUAACACAUGCAAGUCGAGCGAGAAAGCCCGCAAGGGUGAGUAAAGCGGCGCACGGGUGCGUAACACGUGGGUAAUCUGCCCUAGAGUCUGGAAUAACCCGCCGAAAGGCGUGCUAAUGCCGGAUGAGACCACGGGAGCCUCGGCCCCUGCGGGAAAAGGUGGCCUCUGUACACAAGCUAUCGCUCUAGGAUGAGCCCGCGGCCCAUCAGCUAGUUGGGGGGGUAAUGGCCCACCAAGGCAACGACGGGUAGCUGGUCUGAGAGGACGAUCAGCCACACUGGAACUGAGACACGGUCCAGACUCCUACGGGAGGCAGCAGUGGGGAAUCUUGCGCAAUGGGCGAAAGCCUGACGCAGCAACGCCGCGUGUGUGAUGAAGGUCUUCGGAUCGUAAAGCACUGUCGCGAGGGACGAAUAAGGGUCGGGUGAACAAUCCGGUCCGAUGACGGUACCUCGAGAGGAAGCACCGGCUAACUCUGUGCCAGCCGCCGCAGUAAAAC